rnacentral:lncRNA from 1 species
GGCCCCGCCCUCCCGCCUUCCGGCGCCGGGGCCUUCCGGGUCGCCGCGGUCCCCUCCGCCCCUCUCCCCGCCCGGGCAGCUCCCUCUGGCGGCACCUGAGAGAACAGGACGCGCCUGCUGACGGCGUCCUGGAGACUGGAAGGAGAGGACCAGCAGCAGGGAAAGAUGCUGGGAGGGAAGAAACCUCAGAGUCGGAGAGGAGGAAAACUGUAAGUCUAUGCACAUCUUCAACUGCUCAGCAGCCCGGGACUUUCAUUCUGCAGUGAAUGAAAUCAUAAAAUAGUUACACACACUGAGGCUCAGAAAUGUCAUACUUGGAACCCAUUACUCCUAGUGGCGGCCAGAGGCCUCCUGUAACAUAGAUCCUGGGAGCAAGGCACACAGUUGAGUCUGCAGGGUGGUCAGUGUGUGUUGCACCAGCACCCAGAAUUCUUC